UUUCCGUUAUACGUUUGUGACGUUGCUGGUUUAUUACCCACCGAAAAAAAAACCGUAUAUAAUUAUAUUAAUCCUGUUAACUAUAUCCAGUUGUUAAAACGAAACUAUGAAUAAAACACUUGUGAUUUUCACGUUCGCAAUCGCAAUUACAACGUUGCACGCCUACGUUAAUAAAUGCGCCGAAAAAUACGAAUGUCCCAAAUCUGAACGUUGUACUCCUCUUUCGCAAGUUUUUUAUGACGGUCCCAAUAAUUGUUGUAAAGUUUGCAUAAAGGAUUGCAAAGCAUAUUGUAAGAAGAUUGUUUGCCCUCAGUACUUCUGGUGUCCCAAUCCACAUCCUGGAGGCAUUUGUAAUUGUUGUACUUUGUGUAAUUAAAUAAUAAACUUAAUUUCUAAGCUGG